rnacentral:rRNA from 1 species
CAAGUCGUACGGACGUAGCAAUACGUCAGUGGCGGACGGGUGAGUAAUGAAUCGCUAAUGUACCCCGGAAUCUGGGAUAGCUGCCCGAAAGGGCAGGUAAUACCAGAUGAUAUAACCUUGUCGCAUGGCGAGGUUCUCAAAGGGAAACCGCUCUGGGAGCAGGCGAUUUCGUAUCAGCUAGUUGGUGAGGUAACGGCUCACCAAGGCGACGACGCGCAGCCGGACUGAGAGGUUGGCCGGCCACAUUGGGACUGAGACACUGCCCAGACUCCUACGGGGGGCUGCAGUAACGAAUCUCCCGCAAUGCUCGCAAGUGUGACGGAGCGACGCCGCGUGUAGGAUGAAGUCCUUCGGGAUGUAAACUACUGUCAGGGGAAAGAAAGUUCUGAUCUACCCCAGAGGAAGAGACGGCUAACUCUGUGCCAGCAGCCGCGGUAAUACAGAGGUCUCGAGCGUUAGGCGGAAUCACUGGGCUUAAAGCGUGUGUAGGCGGAUCGUUAAGUGCCUUGUGAAAUCCCACGGCUCAACCGUGGAACUGCUUGGCAUACUGGCGGUCUUGAGCAACCUAGGGGCGAGCGGAACAAUGGUGGAGCGGUGAAAUGCGUAGAUAUCAUUUGGAACGCCAAUGGUGAAAACAGCUCGCUGGGGGUUUGCUGACGCUGAGACACGAAAGCCAGGGGAGCAAACGGGAUUAGAUACCCCGGUAGUCCUGGCCCUAAACGAUGUCCACUAGAUCGUAGCGCCUCUGACGGUGUUAUGGUCGAAGCAAAAGUGCUAAGUGGACCGCCUGGGAAGUACGGUCGCAAGGC